UACGUAGGGUGCGAGCGUUGUCCGGAAUUACUGGGCGUAAAGCGCACGUAGGCGGAUUUGUAAGUCAGGGGGUGAAAUCCCGGGGGCUCAACCUCGGAACUGCCUUUGAUACUGCAAAUCUCGAGUCCGGAAGAGGUGAGUGGAAUUCCUAGUGUAGAGGUGAAAAUUCGUAGAUAUUAGGAAGAAACACCAGUGGCGAAGGCGGCUCACUGGUCCGGUACUGACGCUGAGGUGCGAAAGCGUGGGGAGCAAACAGGG
rnacentral:rRNA from 1 species